GCCGGGACCGACGGACGGACAGGUCUCCGGGUAGCCUCGGCUUCGCAGGCGCAUCGACGACAUCUCGCGGGUCUCCUUUCCUUUCCUUCCGACCCCUCCUCAAGGUGUUAGGAAAGGGGUGUUCCCGGGAACGGAGGAGUGUUCACAGUGACCGUAGAACGUAACUACUGAAAAUAAUGGGAUGCGACAGCAUACAGGAACAUGUCAUCAUCCACGUGGGAAAACGAAAUAUCUGACCUCCAGGAACUUCUCCAUUAGCACCGGCAUGAUCAUCUCAUCCACGAUCCAUGGCGCUUGAGGCUGGGAUAAGUCACUCUGCUCACCUGCUCAUGUCCACCCAUCUGUGCUGCAGCCUGUCCUCCUGCCACUGUUGACAGGAUUCCAGCCUGGGCAACAUGGAGAAACCCUGUCUCUACUAAAAAUGCAAAAUAUUAGCUGAACAUGAUUGAUGUGAACCUGCAGUCCAGCUACCCAGGAGGCUGAGAGACAGGACCUUGCUCUGUCACCCAGGCUGGAGAGCAGUGGCGCAAUCAUAGCUCACUGCAGUCUGCAACUCCCAGACUCAAGCGAUUGUCUGACCUUAGCCUCCUGAGUAGCUAGGACAACAGGUGUGCACCACCAUACCCAGUGAGGACACAGCCAGAAGACAGAAGUCUGCAGCCCAGAAGAGGGCCCUCACCAGAACCUGACCUUUGAUCUCAGACACUGCAGCCUUCAGAACAAUCAGAAAUUAAUUUUUGUUUUUAAGCUUCCCAGUAUAUGGUCAUUUGUUAUAGCAGCCCCAACUGACUGAGACACACUGUAUACCUACACAUAGGAAUAAUAAACCUUGCCACAUAUUUCUCUUUUU